rnacentral:rRNA from 1 species
UUUCGCAAUGCCCGAAAGGGUGACGAAGCGACGCCGCGUGAGUGAGGAAGGCCUUCGGGUUGUAAAGCUCUGUCAGGAGUUAAGAAAUAUAAGUGUGUUAAUACCACAUUUAUUUGACGAAGGCUCCAAAGGAAGCCACGGCUAACUCUGUGUCAGCAGCCGCGGUAAUACAGAGGUGGCAAGCGUUGUUCGGAAUUAUUGGGCGUAAAGAGCACGUAGGUGGGUUUGUAAGUCAGAUGUGAAAGCCUUCUGUUCAACGGAAGAAUUGCAUCUGAAACUGCGAGUCUUGAGUGUAGGAGGGGAGAAUGGAACUUCUGGUGGAGCGGUGAAAUGCGUAGAUAUCAGAAAGAACGCCGGCGGCGAAAGCGAUUCUCUGGCCUAUUACUGACACUCGGUGUGCGAAAGCUAGGGGGGCAAACGGGAUUAGAUACCCCGGUAGUCCUAGCUGUAAACGAUGGGCACUAAGUAGAGGGGUUUUA